rnacentral:rRNA from 1 species
UCCUACGGGAGGCAGCAGUGGGGAAUAUUGGACAAUGGGGGCAACCCUGAUCCAGCAAUGCCGCGUGUGUGAUGAAGGCCUUAGGGUUGUAAAGCACUUUCACUGGUGAAGAUGAUGACGGUAACCAGAGAAGAAGCCCCGGCUAACUUCGUGCCAGCAGCCGCGGUAAU